rnacentral:rRNA from 1 species
AGCGAACGCUGGCGGCAGGCCUAACACAUGCAAGUCGAACGAACCUUUCGGGGUUAGUGGCGGACGGGUGAGUAACCCGUGGGAACGUGCCUUUAGGUUCGGAAUAACUCAGGGAAACUUGUGCUAAUACCGAAUGUGCCCUUCGGGGGAACGAUUGAUCGCCUUUAGAGCGGCCCGGGUCUGAUUAGCUAGUUGGUUGAGGUAAUGGCGCACCAAGGCGACGAUCAGUAGCUGGUCAGAGAGGAUGAUCAGCCACAUUGGGACUGAGACACGGCCCAAAAUCCUACGGGAGGGAGCAGUGGGGAAUCUUGCGCAAGGGGCGAAAGCCUGACGCAGCCAUGCCGCGUGAAUGAUGAAGGUCUGAGGAUAGUAAAAUUCUUUCACCGGCGACGAUAAUGACGGUACCCGGAGAAGAAGCCCCGGCUAACUUCGUG